ACGUAGGGGGCAAGCGUUGUCCGGAAUUACUGGGCGUAAAGAGCGCGUAGGCGGUUCAGUAAGCGGAAGGUGAAAUCCCGGGGCUCAACUCCGGGGCUGCUUUCCGAACUGCUGGACUAGAGUAUGGGAGAGGGCAGUGGAAUUCCUGGUGUAGCGGUGGAAUGCGUAAAUAUCAGGAGGAACUCCCGUGGCGAAGGCUGCUGCCUGGAACAUUACUGACGCUGAGGCGCGAAAGCUAGGGGAGCGAACGG
rnacentral:rRNA from 1 species